rnacentral:rRNA from 1 species
AUUGAACGCUGGCGGCAGGCCUAACACAUGCAAGUCGAACGGUAGCACAGAGAGCUUGCUCUCGGGUGACGAGUGGCGGACGGGUGAGUAACGUCUGGGAAACUGCCCGAUGGAGGGGGAUAACUACUGGAAACGGUAGCUAAUACCGCAUAACGUCGCAAGACCAAAGUGGGGGACCUUCGGGCCUCACACCAUCGGAUGUGCCCAGAUGGGAUUAGCUAGUAGGGGGGGUAAUGGCUCACCUAGGCGACGAUCCCUAGCUGGUCUGAGAGGAUGACCAGCCACACGGGAACGGAGACACGGUCCAGACUCCUACGGGAGGCAGCAGUGGGGAAUAUUGCACAAUGGGCGCAAGCCGGAUGCAGCCAGGCCGCGUGUAUGAAGAAGGCCUUCGGGUUGUAAAGUACUUUCAGCGGGGAGGAAGGCGGUGAAGUUAAUAACUUCACCGAUUGACGUUACCCGCAGAAGAAGCACCGGCUAACUCCGUGCCAGCCGCCGCCGUAA